CCUACGGGAGACAGCAGUGGGGAAUAUUGCACAAUGGGGGAAACCCUGAUGCAGCGACGCCGCGUGAGUGAAGAGGUAUCUCGGUACGUAAAGCUCUAUCAGCAGGGAAGAAAAUGACGGUACCUGACUAAGAAGCCCCGGCUAACUACGUGCCAGCAGCCGCGGUAAUACGUAGGGGGCAAGCGUUAUCCGGAUUUACUGGGUGUAAAGGGAGCGUAGACGGCAGCACAAGUCUGGAGUGAAAUCCCGGGGCCUAACCCCGGAACUGCUUUGGAAACUGUGCGGCUGGAGUGCAGGAGGGGUAAGCGGAAUUCCUAGUGUAGCGGUGAAAUGCGUAGAUAUUAGGAGGAACACCGGUGGCGAAGGCGGCUUACUGGACUGUAACUGACGUUGAGGCUCGAAAGCGUGGGGAGCAAACAGGAUUAGAUACCCGAGUAGUC
rnacentral:rRNA from 1 species